rnacentral:rRNA from 1 species
GACGAACGCUGGCGGCGUGCCUAAUACAUGCAAGUCGAGCGGAUGACGGAGGAGCUUGCUCCUCCUGAUUCAGCGGCGGACGGGUGAGUAACACGUGGGCAACCUGCCCUGUAGAUUGGGAUAACUCCGGGAAACCGGGGCCAAUACCGAAUAAUCCUUCGAACCUCAUGGUCCGAUGUUGAAAGACGGCAUCUCGCUGUCACUACAGGAUGGGCCCGCGGCGCAUUAGCUAGUUGGUGAGGUAACGGCUCACCAAGGCCACGAUGCGUAGCCGACCUGAGAGGGUGAUCGGCCACACUGGGACUGGGACACGGCCCGGACUCCUACGGAAGGCAGCAGUAGGGAAUCUCCCACAAUGGACGAAAGUCUGAUGGAGCAACGCCGCGUGAGUGAAGAAGGUUCUCGGAUCGUAAAACUCUGUUGUGAGGGAAGAACAAGUACCGGAGUAACUGCCGGUGCCUUGACGGUACCUCAUUGGAAAGCCACGGCUAACUACGUGCCAGCCGCCGCCGUAA